rnacentral:rRNA from 1 species
UACGUAGGGGCAAGCGUUGUCCGGAUUAUUGGGCGUAAAGAGCGUGUAGGCGGUUUGGUAGGUCCGCUGUGAAAACUCGAGGCUCAACCUCGAGCUGUCGGCGGAAACUGUCUGGCUAGAGUCCGGAAGAGGAGAGUGGAAUUCCUGGUGUAGCGGUGAAUGCGCAGAUAUCAGGAAGAACACCUAUGGCGAAGGCAGCUCUCUGGGACGGUACUGACGCUGAGACGCGAAAGCGUGGGGAGCGAACAGG